rnacentral:rRNA from 1 species
GCUAAUACCGCAUACGUCCUACGGGAGAAAGCAGGGGAUCACUUGUGACCUUGCGCUAAUAGAUGAGCCUAAGUCGGAUUACUAGUUGGUGGGGUAAAGGCCUACCAAGGCGACAUCUGUACGGGUCUGAGAGGAUGAUCCGCCACACUGGGACUGAGACACGGCCCAACUCCUACGGGAGGCACAGUGGGGAAUAUUGGACAAUGGGGGGAACCCUGAUCCAGCCAUGCCGCGUGUGUGAAGAAGCCUUAUGGUUGUAAAGCACUUUAAGCGAGGAGGAGGCUCUUUUGGUUAAUACCCAAAUGAGUGGACGUUACUCGCAGAAUAAGCACCGGCUAACUCUGUGCCAGCAGCCGCGGUAAUACAGAGGGUGCAAGCGUUAAUCGGAUUUACUGGGCGUAAAGCGCGCGUAGGCGGCCAAUUAAGUCAAAUGUGAAAUCCCCGAGCUUAACUUGGGAAUUGCAUUCAUACUGGUUGGCUAGAGUGUGGGAGAGGAUGGUAGAAUUCCAGGUGUAGCGGUGAAAUGCGUAGAGAUCUGGAGGAAUACCGAUGGCGAAGCAGCCUCUGGCCUAACACUGACGCUGAGGUGCGAAAGCAUGGGGAGCAAACAGGAUUAGAUACCCUGGUAGUCCAUGCC